AUACGGAGGAUCCGAGCGUUAUCCGGAUUUAUUGGGUUUAAAGGGUGCGCAGGCGGCCAUUUAAGUCAGCGGUUAAAUCGUGGGGCUCAACCCCAUUCUGCCGUUGAUACUGGGUGGCUUGAUUGCGGUCGAGGUUGGCGGAAUUCGUUGUGUAGCGGUGAAAUGCAUAGAUAUGACGAAGAACACCGAUUGCGUAGGCAGCUGACCAGACCGCAAAUGACGCUCAUGCACGAAAGUGCGGGGAUCGAACAGGAUUAGAUACCCUUGUAGUCCGCACAGUAAACGAUGAAUACUUGUUUUCGGCGAUAUAAUGUCGGAGGCAAAGCGAAAGAGAUAAGUAUUCCACCUGGGGAGUACGCCGGCAACGGUGAAACUCAAAGGAAUUGACGGGG
rnacentral:rRNA from 1 species